rnacentral:lncRNA from 1 species
GAUGGAAGGAUUCAAUAUCCCUGCUGGAAAUCAGCUCGUCUUCUUCACACAGUGCUGUUGAACGUGGAAAGAACUUAUUUCUGAGGCAUAAUUACCAGCUCUAACAUAUGAAAAGUCGAUGAUAGACAGACAUACAGCAUAAAUGUAUCGAGGACAAAAAAUAUCUUCUGAAUGCAGCCGUCAGCGAGCCAUUGAAUGUCCUGUAGCAAAGGCCUCAAUGACAAAGACAAUGUCAAGUGCUGACUACUCACCUUAUAGACCAGGAGCUGGGAAUCUAACUCCAGGCCCUUAG